CACUCCUGCGGGAGGCAGCAGUGAGGAAUAUUGGACAAUGGGUGGAAGCCUGAUCCAGCCAUCCCGCGUGCAGGAAGACGGCCCUAUGGGUUGUAAACUGCUUUUACCUGGGGAUAAACCUACUUACGUGUAAGUAGCUGAAGGUACCAGAAGAAUAAGCACCGGCUAACUCCGUGCCAGCAGCCGCGGUAAUACGGAGGGUGCAAGCGUUAUCCGGAUUUAUUGGGUUUAAAGGGUCCGUAGGCGGACUGAUAAGUCAGUGGUGAAAUCCGACAGCUUAACUGUCGAACUGCCAUUGAUACUGUUAGUCUUGAGUAAGGUUGAAGUGGCUGGAAUAAGUAGUGUAGCGGUGAAAUGCAUAGAUAUUACUUAGAACACCAAUUGCGAAGGCAGGUCACUAAGUCUUAACUGACGCUGAUGGACGAAAGCGUGGGGAGCGAACAGGAUUAGAAACCCGGGUAGUCCCAUGA
rnacentral:rRNA from 1 species